rnacentral:sRNA from 1 species
CUUCCGUAGGGUGAACCUGCGGAGGGAUCAUUACCGAGUUUACAACUCCCAAACCCCAAUGUGAACGUUACCAAUCUGUUGCCUCGGCGGGAUUCUCUUGCCCCGGGCGCGUCGCAGCCCCGGAUCCCAUGGCGCCCGCCGGAGGACCAACUCCAAACUCUUUUCUCUCUCCGUCGCGGCUCCCGUCGCGGCUCUGUUUUAUUUUUGCUCUGAGCCUUUCUCGGCGACCCUAGCGGGCGUCUCGAAAAUGAAUCAAAACUUUCAACAACGGAUCUCUUGGUUCUGGCAUCGAUGAAGAACGCAGCGAAAUGCGAUAAGUAAUGUGAAUUGCAGAAUUCAGUGAAUCAUCGAAUCUUUGAACGCACAUUGCGCCCGCCAGUAUUCUGGCGGGCAUGCCUGUCCGAGCGUCAUUUCAACCCUCGAACCCCUCCGGGGGGUCGGCGUUGGGGAUCGGCCCCUCACCGGGCCGCCCCCGAAAUACAGUGGCGGUCUCGCCGCAGCCUCUCAUGCGCAGUAGUUUGCACACUCGCACCGGGAGCGCGGCGCGGCCACAGCCGUAAAACACCCCAAAUUUUCUGAAAUGUGACCUCGGAUCAGGUAGGAAUACCCGCUGAACUUAAGCAUAUCAAUAAGCCGGAGGAA